CUCCAGCAUGUCCGGGUCCAGGCACGGGUUGUCCUGCACGAACUGGCUCUUGAGCUGCCUCAGCUUACGGCGGAGCUCGUCCUCGUACGGCAGUUCGAGCGAGGAGAAGAGCAGGGCGCCGCAGCCCAGGUAUAGCAGGGUUCUUUUGAAGACCCUGACCUGGAGUUACACGCAGCUUCGGUUCUCUGCAGGAAUGGGACCCGUUCUCGGGGUUUGAGGGCCAGCCGAUGUUCUCAUGGGUCAGCCUGAGAGUCUCGAUCGUGUUCGGAAGCCUAAGAUCUCGGGGCUCUGGAGACGGGCAGAUCAAGGGCACUUACAGGAAAAUAAAGAAAUACGAUAGAAUAUAUGGAAAACUGCAAAAGAAGACAAGCUGUGCAAUAAAAAACAGUGAGAACAUGAGCUGAAAAGUGUCUGUAGGUUGUGGAAUCGUUGUAAGGUUGAAGUGGGUGAAGUUAUCCUUGUUGGUUCAGGAGUCUGGUGGUUGAAGGGUAAUAACUGUUCCUGAACCUGGUGGCGUGGGACAUCGGAUGCCUGUACCUCCUGCAGGAAG